UACGUAGGGGGCAAGCGUUGUCCGGAUUUAUUGGGCGUAAAGAGCGUGUAGGCGGCCAGGUAGGUCCGUUGUGAAAACUGGAGGCUUAACCUCCAGCUGUCGAUGGAAACCAUCUGGCUAGAGUCCGGAAGAGGAGAGUGGAAUUCCUGGUGUAGCGGUGAAAUGCGCAGAUAUCAGGAAGAACACCCGUGGCGAAGGCGGCUCUCUGGGACGGUACUGACGCUGAGGCGCGAAAGCGUGGGGAGCGAACAGG
rnacentral:rRNA from 1 species